CUACCAGUGGCCUGGGAGCUUGAGGGUUCUGCACAGUAUCUUGGCUGUGCCUAGAACACUCUAAAAGGCAAUACCUAUUCUUACUUAAAUUAGUGAAUGCUUCAGCUCAGCGAUGCGCAGGAAAGUGCGGGAAGCUUCCAGAACGUUUGUGGACUUGCACAUUGGAAGAAGCAGAGCUUCUUUAAAGGUGAGUUAUUCAUCUUCAGUAUAUUCUCAUGUGUCAUGUAUGCCAUUACUACUCGCUUAUAUGGUUACAGGUUGAUUUUUCUUUCAAAAGAUAACACAUAAAAGUCUUUGCAGGCUAAUAUGCUAAUGUUAGCAUGGGCUCAUGGGUCCAACAUUAGCUAAAACUGCCACGCCUUUUACUUGAGAACCUUUAAUGUUUUUGUCCAUUGCUGU